rnacentral:rRNA from 1 species
UACGAAGGGGGCUAGCGUUGCUCGGAAUCACUGGGCGUAAAGGGCGCGUAGGCGGCGUUUUAAGUCGGGGGUGAAAGCCUGUGGCUCAACCACAGAAUUGCCUUCGAUACUGGACGGCUCGAGACCGGAAGAGGUCAGUGGAACUGCGAGUGUAGAGGUGAAAUUCGUAGAUAUUCGCAAGAACACCGGUGGCGAAGGCGGCCAACUGGACCCAUUACUGACGCUGAGGCGCGAAAGCGUGGGGAGCAAACAGG